UCCACCCAAAUGUAAAUGAUAUUACAUACAGUAUUUCUACCAGCAGUGUUCAAUGAGAUUGUAGCAGUUGACCUUCCUGCAUCAUCUGAAAUGGCAGACAUUUCAUUCUUAUUACUUCUCCUGAUGUGCUUUACUAGUGUAAACAGUCAGAGCUUGGAGUCCAUCCCAUCAAGUCCUGUCCCUAAAAAGCCUGGAGAAACUUUGAAUCUCUCGUGUAAAGCAUCUGGAUUUGAUUUUGGACAGUACGGCAUGCACUGGAUCAGACAGUCAGCAGGACAAACAUUAAUCUGGAUGGGGGUUAUCUGUUUUAAGAUGAAGAGAAGCAGCUUGUUCUCACUCAUCUCAAACCAUGAUCUCUUCAUCUCUCUGGUUGUUGCUGCUGCUGGCAGCUGUUUCUCGUGUUCACUGUGUUGAACUGAUCCAGACUGAUUCUAUGGUCUUAAGUCCUGGUCAGGUUUUGACACUGUCCUGUAAACUCUCUGGAUAUACAGUGACUGACAGCUACUGCACUGGCUUCAUUCGGCAGCCUGCAGGAAAAGCUCUGGAAUGGGUUGGGAUGAUAUGUAGUAGUGGUGGUAGCACAUAUUACAGUGAUAAACUGAAAAGUAGAUUUCAAGUCACCAGAGAUUCUUCCAGCAACACAGUGACUCUUCAAGGACAGAAUAUGCAGACUGAGGACACAUCUGUGUAUUACUGCGCCAGAGACUCACAGUGACACAGAGCAGCUACUGUCUUGUUCAAAAACCACUCUAACACUCGGCACACAAAUAAACAGCUUUAUGCUA